CCUACGGGAGGCAGCAGUGGGGAAUAUUGCACAAUGGGCGAAAGCCUGAUGCAGCAACGCCGCGUGAAGGAAGACGGUCUUCGGAUUGUAAACCUCUGUUUGUAGUGAAGAAUAGUCACGGUCACUAAGGCGCAUGCCACGACUAACUACGUGCCAGCAGCCGCGGUAAUAUGUAGGUGGCAAGCGUUGUCCGGACUUACUGGGGGUAAAGGGAUCGUAGGUGGGAAGCCAAGUCAGCUGUGAAAACUACGGGCUUAACCUGUAGACUGCAGUUGAAACUGGCGUUCUGGAGUGAGUGAGAGGUUGGCGGAAUUCGGGGUGUAGCGGUGAAAUGCGUAGAUAUUGGGAGGAACACCGGUGGCGAAGGCGGCCAACUGGGCUUUAACUGACGCUGAGGCUCGAAAGUGUGGGGAGCAAACAGGAUUAGAUACCCUUGUAGUC
rnacentral:rRNA from 1 species